UGGAGGACUGAGAAGGUGGGGCAGUUCCGUUCCGUGCUGCUGUCCAUUGGUUAAGACCUCCGACAGUAAAGGGCUGACCAGAAGGAUGCCCCUCCCUCCUUGGCACCGUGGAGGGGCAUUGCUGUGCUGGCCCACAUUUG